ensembl:lncRNA
GCCCUUAGCCGCAGAAACGCGGCCGCCCGACCCGCCGGGCCCGGGGGUGGGGCCGCCUGCCAGUGUUUUUCCAGUUUCCCCGGUAGCUCCGGGCCGCAUUUAGAAGCCGGGAAACUGGGCCGAGGCCAGUGUCGGGGCAGCAGAGGCCCUCGCGGCCGCCGGAGCCCUGCCAAGCGGCAAGCCAGGCCAGGGCGGGUGGGGGCCGGCGUGGAGAGCGGCCGGGCCAGGGCGGCUCAGCCCACACCGUCGUCCCAGACAAGAUACAGCCGCCCGACGGCAUCUCGCGACUCCUUAAAACAAAUGAUUCUAAUCUCCGAAAACCCUAGCACCUACUGAGUGCCCAGCAAGCCCCCUGCAAGCGCUAAAAAGAUAACAUUAAGACUCACUCACCCCCUGCCCUCCCAGAGCUCUCAGUUUAGCUGGGGAGAUAGACAAACACCCAAGUAAUUCAUCCCAGGCCUGAUGUGGGACAUGCCAGCAAAGUUUCAACAAAGGGCACCUAAGAACAAAGAGAUGGAUUCUGAUUGGAGAGUAAGCCAGUGUCUGAAUGAACCCCCUGCUGCCACCAUUGCCUGGUUCUGCUUUUCUUUUGAGCCUAAUGGAUGGAUGACUCAUCACUUUGCCCACUCCAGGUCGUGAAGACCCACUGGCCAUCUGCAUGAAGACCAUCAAAUCUGGUAUCUUCAGUCCCAGAUUCUGCCC